AUUGAACGCUGGCGGCAUGCCUUACACAUGCAAGUCGAACGGCAGCACGGGAGCAAUCCUGGUGGCGAGUGGCGAACGGGUGAGUAAUAUAUCGGAACGUGCCCAGUCGUGGGGGAUAACGCAGCGAAAUCUGUGCUAAUACCGCAUACGAUCUACGGAUGAAAGCGGGGGAUCGCAAGACCUCGCGCGAUUGGAGCGGCCGAUAUCAGAUUAGCUAGUUGGUGGGGUAAAGGCUCACCAAGGCGACGAUCUGUAGCUGGUCUGAGAGGACGACCAGCCACACUGGAACUGAGACACGGUCCAGACUCCUACGGGAGGCAGCAGUGGGGAAUUUUGGACAAUGGGCGCAAGCCUGAUCCAGCAAUGCCGCGUGCAGGAUGAAGGCCUUCGGGUUGUAAACUGCUUUUGUACGGAACGAAACGGUGAGCUCUAAUACAGUUUGCUAAUGACGGUACCGUAAGAAUAAGCACCGGCUAACUACGUGCCAGCCGCCGCCGUAAUAC
rnacentral:rRNA from 1 species